AUGGCGCCGCCGGCCCUCAAUCUCGCCGGAUCCGGCCGCCUCCACGCCAAAUCCGCCGAAAAUGGAUCCACCCCGGCCAGAUCCGCCCGGAUCCGACCGGGCCUCCUGCCGUACGACGCCUCAUCGAGGAGUACAACAGCUGCCCCAUGCCAGCCAAGAUCCUCCAGAUCCUCUCCACCCAACCGCCGUCAUUGCAGGAGGACUUUGACGAGUGGCUCACCAAAAAGCUUCCCCAAAUCCUACAAGAGGCUCAGGUUAGACGAGCCGCUGACAAAGACACACCUCUAUUCUGAAUUUUUACUUGCAAAGAUGGACCAUCAGCUACAGAAUAUGUUGGCUAAACUCUCACAGGUUUGGAGCCGACCACGGAAGUCACAGUUUAAGAGCUCGAGGAGGAGGGGCAUGUGGAGGUUUCCGCCGCCAGUGGCUGCACUGCUGGUCUUCGUCGCCUGCUGCUGUCAGAUCCAGCAUGACCUAUCCUAUCGGUUCUCCAUCGCUUCACUCUGCUUCAUGUGCAUAUGUGCGGAGAAUAUGACGACCCGCCCCUGUUCUUCACCAGCCACACUCUCCCUUAUGCGGUAA
rnacentral:rRNA from 1 species